CCGAGUUUACAACUCCCAACCCCCAAUGUGAACAUACCUAUUCUGUUGCUUCGGCGGGGUCGCCCCGGGGCGCGCGGCCGUGAGGCCAGCCCCGGACCCAACGUGCGCCCGCCGGAGGAUACCAAACUCUUCUGUUUCUCACAGCGGCUACAUUCUGAGUGGCUCCAUCGCGAGCAAAACAAAAAAUGAAUCA
rnacentral:misc_RNA from 1 species